CAUUAAUUUAAGGUGGCAGGCGUGAUUUACUAACAGAUCAGGAAAUUCCAUGAAAAAAAUUGGCGACGUCAGCUGACAGACAAAGUGAAUACUCGGCAUUUAUAAAUAUUUUAUUAUGUGCAUAGUAUUGGUUUGAAGGUACUUUUAUUUAAAUAAAAGAAUUCUCGUGGUAGUUGCUUGCUAAAAACGAGAAAAUUGUAUCGCAGUUAGUGUCCGUGAAAUUUACAUCUACCAAUGGAUUCAAUAUACAGGGUGUAUAAAAAAACUGAACAGAUUUGAAAUUGCUCUCAAUUUCGAAAAACAGCUCGUGGUAUCAGGUGUUUGUUAUAUAUAGAUUCCUUGAGUACACAUAAUGUAGAAUAAUGAAAAAAAAAUACUGGAACUCAAAUUGUGUAAACCAGGGGGGGGGGUGUUUCUUUUCAAACAAACUAAAAAUGGCUUGCGCACGAAAUUUAAAAGCUUUAAUCGUAUCUUGAGUUAAUGGAUGGAAAAUUUGUUGGGUUUUUAAUUACUGUACAAAAUUUCAGACAAUUUGCUUUAGUUUAAGCACUUUAACUAUUCAUUUUUUCCUAAAAAAAAUCAGCCUUUCGCAUGCUUAAUUAAUGCCUUUACCUAAUUUGCAUAUUGCUGACAUAUGCAAAUUAGGCAAAGGCAUUAUUAAUUAAGCAUGCAAAAGCUGAUUAUUUUAGGAAAAAUGUACGUUUGCGUGAAUAGUUAAAGGGGCUUAAACUGAAGCAAAUUGUCUGAAAUUUCGUGCAGCAAUUAAACACCCAACACAUUUUUCACCCAUUAACUCAAAAUACGAUUAAAGCUUUUAAAU